UCACAAUAACCUAACACUAAUCACUAAUUCACCACAUCAAAACCUCCAAAUCCAAAUAAAACAGUUAAAAACCUAAACCUAAUUCCAUAUCAAGCUCAACAAUCAACAAGCAACAAACUAACCUGAAACAAUCCGGUGAGCCGCUACGGCAGAGGUCAACGUCGCACUUCCGUCGUUAAUCUCAUUAUUAUUGUUAUUAUUCUCAUCAGAAAACGCCCAAAGCGGCGAGAACGACUGCUCCGUGGCGGAUAAAAUAAACGAGGGCGAAGGAUCCGACGAGAAGAUCUGAUCGAACGUCCAGGAACCGUCGAGAUCCAUGGUCAUCAUGACCGGCAGGUCCUCCGUCAGCGGCGACGGUGGUUUGUUAAAAAUGUUGUGGUUGUUGUUUGAGCGAUAGGAAUGGUGAGGUAUGUGUGGACUUAUGGUGGUGGUGAUUCCAAAGAUAUGGAAUCUGAGAGUGUGCAAAUUGCAGAGGAUGAAAAUGGUUAAAAAUUGGUGAGAAGACGUGAUCCACUCCGCCACAUAUGUUUGCUUGGGUCUACACACAGAAAGAAAGAUCAGUAUCACAAGUCUAUUAUCUUGGAGCUGAGUAUUUAUAAAAUUUUGUUUUUUAUUUAUUUGAUUUCGAGAAAUGGGUAUAUAUUUAUUUUUGGUUUGAUUCUUU
rnacentral:lncRNA from 1 species